rnacentral:misc_RNA from 1 species
GAUGAAGAACGCAGCGAAAUGCGAUAACUAAUGUGAAUUGCAGAAUUCAGUGAAUCAUCGAGUCUUUGAACGCACAUUGCGCCCCCUGGUAUUCCGGGGGGCAUGCCUGUCCGAGCGUCAUUGCUGCCCUCAAGCACGGCUUGUGUGUUGGGCUCCGUCCCCCCGGGGACGGGCCCGAAAGGCAGCGGCGGCACCGAGUCCGGUCCUCGAGCGUAUGGGGCUUUGUCACCCGCUCUGUAGGCCCGGCCGGCGCUUGCCGACACAUCAAUCUUUUUUCCAGGUUGACCUCGGAUCAGGUAGGGAUACCCGCUGAACUUAAGCAUAUCAAUAAGCGGAGGA